rnacentral:lncRNA from 1 species
AACUUUGUUGUGUAGUAGUAAUCAUCGUUAGAGCUCCCAGUCAUGCAUUCUAAGAAGUGCACCUCACUCCAGAAAAUAGCAUGAGUCCAAUUAACAAUGCUUGUGCCAGAUAUUUGCUCCUUGAAGUAGCUGCAAAUGAUACAAUUGAAAAUAAAUUAUAAUGCAGGCUGCCACCGUCAGGUUGGCUUAACAGCCCCAAGUCAAUUCUUCAAGAGAAUAGGGAGGUGAGAAACUAAACUCGGGAGGAAAUGGAACGACAGGGUGAUCACCUGAUUGAAUUGUUGAGGCAUAAAUUGAUGUCCUUUCUUAACAUCACAGAAGUAGAAGGCCUCCUGUAAAUGGUGUCCACAGGAAAUCAUACAGUAAACCCCUUACUUAUGAAUUGUGUGAUAUCUGCAUAACUUGCAUUCUGUAGCUGUCCCCAAUCAGAGGAGUACUCGUCAGUGUCGUUACCAAAUGGAAUCUCUCCCAGGUAUCCACAGUAAGGUUCAAGAUCUUCAACCGCACAAUAUGCAUAAUUAGACACCCAGACAUAAACAUGUGAAUUUUUGGCACUCUGGCAAGCAACAGGCUUGUAUGCACCUUUAUUCAUUACUGCUCUUGAACAAUUAGCAAAACAUGCUCUGUAAUAACUCCGAGUGGCCAAAUACCGAAAGCCAGGUGGUGAAACAGAAUCAAUUCCGCCCAAGUAUCUACCAAAGUAUCCACCAAAGUAUCUACCAAAGUAUCCACCAAAGUAUCUACCAAAGUAAGGAAGGUGAUUCCACAGUGGAAGAGGGCAGCUGCUACUAGUAUCGAAGUUGGUGUCCAUGACCGAGAAGUAGAAACCGGUGUAGUUGAUGGCAGUCACAUAGUAUGUUCCAGUGUUGAUGUGAAUCGUAGCCUUGCCACCGGUGCAACCCAGCUCGUAUGCUUCAACACCACAAUCAAGAGGAUCACCUCGCUGACGGAAAGGAGGCAAUAUGUCUCGGAGAUGUCCACAGGAGAAAGGUGAGCACCCAUAAUCUCCUCCCUGGACAUGCUCUGCUGCAAAAACUACAACGAGGGAGAAGACAGUUAAGGAUUGUAGGGUAAUAGAAUGAUGAGAUGCACCAGGGUUCCCCAUGAAAGCUUCACAUAUGCACUAUGAACUUCAUAUCCUAGUUACUUAUGUUAUAGAGUACUAAGGGGGGCAAGGAAUCGACAUCAACUAGUUGAUCAUAUCCAGCUGUAUAUACCAAUUAAUAGUGUGGUUGGGAUACUGAUUAUGACUUCAUUGGUAUAUACAUGAAGUUCAGAACAAGAGGAAGAUAUUUCUCUCCCAUUGUGUAGCUAGGAACAAAAGACGACUCGGGCUUGGAGUCUUCUGUCCCAUGGCCGUUUUCUCCAGAGAUGACAAUGAAAACAUAUAAGAACUUCCACGCAAUGCAAAAUACCAAUUGACACAUAUUUAUUGCUCAUGGCCGUUUUCUCCAGAGAUGACAAUGACAACAUACAAGAACUUCCAUGCAAUGCAAAAUGCCAAUUGACACAUAUAUUUAUUGCAAAAACAACAAACGGGAUAAGACAGUUAAGGCUUGUAGGGCAAUACAAUGAUGAAAUGCAACGGGGUUCCCCAUGAAAGCUUCACAGACGCACUAGGGACAUGAUAUCCUAGUUUGUUCUGUUAAGACUACCAAGGAGGGCAAUGGAUCGAUAUCGACUAGUUGAUCAUAUCCAGCUGCAUAUACCAAUUAAUAGUGUGGUUGGGAACUUGGGAUACUGAUUAUGACUUCAUUGGUAUAUACACGACGUGCGAAAUAGGAAGAUAUUCUCUCAAUUGUGUAGCUAGGAACAGAAGACGACCCAGACUUGGAGUCUUCUGUCCCGUCAUUUUUUCCAGAGAUACUCGACGCUGUAGGAUAGAUUUUCCACACUGUGACAGCUGCCCAUAGACUGCACAGUAGAUAGUGGACUGAACCUGUGGCUUUAGUCUGAUUGCGGACUUGGUUCAGCCCACUGCCAAUAGACUAGACAGUGGACUGAACCAAGUCUGCAAUCACACUAAAACCACAAGAGCUCAUCCUCAGGCGCUGGACAGUUCGACCGUGGCCGUGGCCGCAGCCGCUAUGUCUGGCAGCAUGAUGAGAAUAAGCCAGGUGGUGAAACAAAAUAAAUUCCGCCGUGGCCGUAGCUUUGAGAGACCAAAUACCGAAAUCCAGGUGGUGAAACAGAAUCAAUUCCACUAUAGUAACCAAAGUAGUAAGAGCAUGAUUCCACUGUGGAAGAGGGCAGCUUUUUUCUCGAAAAGGAGGAUUACCCCCGGCCUCUGCAUCAAGCGAAGAAGAGGGCAGCUGCUACUGGUGCUGAAGGUGGGAUCCAUGGCCCAAAAGUAGAAGCCGGGUAGUUGAUGGUAGUCACAUAGUAUGUUUCUGUUGAUGUGAAUCGUAACCUUGCUACUGAUACAACUCAGCUCGUAUGCUUGAAUGCCGCACUGCAGAGGAUCACCUUACCAACUGAACCUGUAACUCAUGUUCUUGUCUCUUUAUACAAAUCAUCCCAGCUAUAUCGGAGCGUUUGAGAUAUACUUUAAAUAAAUGAAUGGUUUGCAUAAUGGUGACAGCUACGCUUGUGCAAAUGUUGCAAAUAAUUUGGGUGCUUCCCAAAUAUUACAACGAAGUCGUGUCCGAUGGUUCGGUGUUAAGUCUCGAUCUAAAACAUCGCAAGAGAGAAGUCGGUUUACUUAUUCACCAUUUAGCAAAGUGACAAAAUAAAAUAUUCAAGUUAAAUUAUUUAAUUAAAUUAAAUCAAACUUUAAAUAGGGAAAAGUUCUGGGAUGUUCUCAUCCCGUGAUCCAGGAUGAGAAGGGGAAAGAGGGUUCGUGUACGAAUAUUCGCGGUCCAUAUUGAUUACACCACUAACAAAUAGUCCUUGCAUCAUAUUGAACAUGAGAUCCUUCCAUUGAAAGGUUGAUGGCGCAACUAAACUAUUAGGUUGGUCAAGCGAAUGUCCCCACGAUGAAAUCUUAAAUCAUGCUAGACUCAACUUCAGUCGAAAUACAAAAAUAUAAGGAACAAAAACAAAAGGGAUUAGAGCUCUCGGACUGACACAACUCUCCCCAAAUUAUAAGAGUCUUGCCACAAGAUUCAGAAAGAAAAAAAGAGGAAGAGGUUUGGCUAUAAGUUGCUUCUUUGACAAAGAAGUGAUACCAAAGAACCUUGGGAGUUUGAAAAACUUGAAAAAAAAACAUGAAAGACAAGAAAAGAAUUUGAAACGCUCCGGGUGAAAAGAGGGUGAAGGGACACGACAAGAACUUUCGCAAGAAGGGAAUAAAACUUCGAGAGAAAGCAAAACACGAUUGCUUACGAAACAAAUGACUAGUGAGCACCCAUAUUCUCCACCCUGUGCAUGAUCUGCGGUAAAAACUGCAAAUGACGGAGAAGACAGUGAAGGAUUGCAAAGUAAUAGAAGGAUGAAAUGCACCAGAGUUCCCCAUGAAAGAUUCACAGAUGCACUAGGGACUUGAUAUCCUAUUUAGUUCUGUUAUUAAGAGUACUGAUUAAUCACUGGGCAAGGGGUCGACAUCGACAAGUUGAUCAUAUCCAGCUGUAUAUGUCAAUUAAUAGUGUGAGUAGGCACUGGUAUAUGCAUGACGUGCAGAAGAGGGAAAUAUGCUCUCGAUUGUGUAGCUAGGAGCAGAAGACGACCCAGACUUGGAGUCUUGUGUCCCGUCACUGUAAUUCAUUUUUUGCAGGGAUUCUCCUCAUCCUCAAGCCUAUAGACGAAUAAGUGCUGUUUCUUUUUGCACUUCUUCUUCUUCCUCUUGCUCAAUAUCUUGGUACAGCAGUACAGAAAGAUGAGUAAAUUACUUGCCAUAGCACUCCUGCUGCUGUCUCUGAUCAACCACAGAAUCUACUUGGCCACGGCAUGGGAUGAUAAAGAUUUCUUCAAAUACUGCCCACCGUCCAACUGCAGCCAACAUGGUCCAGAGGUCAGGUUUCCUUUCUGCCUUGAAUCCAGCAAUAAAUCGUCGUCAUCAUCAUCAUCAUGUGGAUGUGCCGGCAGAUCAAUCAGGAAGUUAGCAUGCUCUGGUCAAGACACCAUCCUAGUUCACCCAGUUCUUGGCCCAUACAAUGUCAGCGCCAUAGAUUACAUAUAUUCUUCCAUGAAGAUCAUCCCGCUUGUAGACCCCUGUAUGGUGCUACAGCAGAAGCUCGUCAUCUCCAGAAGCUCGUCAUCUCCACAGGUUGAUGUUAUCAACGAUGAGAAGCCAAGUCUUCAAUUUUUCGAAUGGACUUCUACUGCCCUAGUACGCUGUUCAAGAGAGUUCACACCUGGUGUUGCCGAUAGAAUUGCUGGCCCAGUCUCCUGCAUUAGCAACACAACCCACUUCUUGUAUUUGGUGGCUGGCUAUGAAGACAUGUCUCUUCUUCCGUUGGACUGCAAGGUCGUCCCACUCUCAGAUGGUGUCGGUGGCGGCCUGAUACCCAUGUAUGAGUUUGACGACCCAACGUCAGACAAGCUCUCAGUGUCCUUCAAGGAACGCACAGAGAGAAUGCUCAGUUUUGCUGAGACGACAGUGUAUUUGUUUAAUUACUUUUGCGCAGAAUGUGAACGCAGUGGGGGACGCUGCGCGUUCAGCUCACAAAGGGAUAGACGAUUCUGCAUGCCAGGCCCACAUGGUAUGAGUCAAAAACCAUAUAUAACAUCAUUCUUUUUUAUUCUGUACUAAAGUUGUGAAAUCAAUUAGGAUUUUACUAUACAAUUUACUCAUUCUACAGCUCCAUGUGUUUGAAUCUCCAUGGGAUUUUCGGUCAACUAAGCUUUUUUCAAAAUUAGCAUCACAAAUCCUGCUCGAGCAAUCACACUGAAGGACCUGGACAAAAACCUGAGCAGUAGUCCAGCAGGAAAAAAAAUGUUUUGUUCAUCUAUCAGACACUACCGGCCUUAAAUAAUCUGGAACUCUUUAGUCAUUACUUAUUCUACAAAUUUCUAUGCAACACUCAAUUAACAUGCAUGGCUGCUCCUGCUGCUGCGCUUGAGGGAGCGGGGAUUGAUGGAAUUUGGGCAGGUUUAGAGGGAGCGGCGAAUUGGGGAGGACAGAGCAGAGUAAGGGAGAGAACCGACUGCCACUGAGUGCACAUGCAUGUGACUGCAGGCAUUUUCUGAACAAAAGUUGCCCACUCAGUCAAAGGGCCUUAAGUUGACUCUAACUGCUAUAUGCAUGGCAAAAAUGUUAGAAAAACUAAUAGGCCAGUCACUGUCAUAAAUAGCACCAAAACAAUACAAAUUUCCCUAAAAAGGAAAUUGGGUUGAUAAGUUGCGACAGAUUUUCUCUCUCUCUCUUCUAGAAAAGGCAUCCAUAAAUAGCAUGGUAUAUUUGUUCCUGAUAUACUAGGGCAAGGUACUGCAGCCACGGUAGACAACACUCAAUUUGUCUGUUCUACAUUUGUUUGUAAAUAUAACUCCUUGUUGCUUAUCUUAUUCUCUUUCUUGGUAUUUGCAGGUUCACGUAUCAAAGUCAUUGCAGGUACUGCUCUAUCAGUGUCUUUUUAACUACAAAAUGUAAAAGGAAAAAUUAAAGCUUUCUUUUGUACAAAUUCUUAUUACUCUGACUCUUGACAUCCUCUUAUCAUAACAAAUAGUACUAAAUAACGGCAUUUAAGUCCUGGUGCAAUGUGCUGAUGACGUAUUGUUUGCUUAUUCAGCUACAUCAUCGGUGGCUGCAUUUGUUGUUCUUUUGUUGACGGUGGCCACUGUGCUUUAUCUUUCACUCAAGACAAGAUAUAAUGCGGAGAUACAUAUGAAGGUUGAAAUGUUUCUCAAGACAUAUGGAACAUCAAAACCGACAAGGUACACUUUCUCUGAAGUUAAGAAGAUGGCACGACGGUUUAAGGAAAAAGUAGGGCAGGGAGGAUUUGGAAGUGUGUACAAAGGCGAGCUACCAAAUGGAGUGCCUGUGGCAGUCAAGAUGCUAGAGAACUCUACAGGAGAGGGAGAAUCAUUCAUCAAUGAAGUUGCAACCAUCGGAUUAAUCCACCAUGCCAAUAUCGUCCGCCUCCUGGGGUUUUGUUCCGAAGGGAUGAGACGGGCUCUUAUUUAUGAAUUCAUGCCUAAUGAGUCACUAGAGAAAUACAUAUUCUCUGAUGACUCUAAUAUUUUUCAGAAUCUUCUAGUACCAGAGAAGCUCCUAGAUAUUGCUUUAGGCAUCGCCCGAGGUAUGGAGUACUUACAUCAAGGGUGCAACCAGCGCAUCCUCCACUUUGACAUCAAGCCUCACAAUAUCUUGCUGGAUUACAACUUCAAUCCAAAGAUCUCAGACUUUGGCCUGGCCAAGUUGUGUGCAAGGGACCAAAGCAUCGUCACCUUAACAGCAGCAAGAGGCACAAUGGGCUAUAUUGCACCAGAGCUAUACUCUCGGAACUUUGGGGGAGUAUCGUACAAGUCAGACGUGUACAGUUUCGGCAUGCUGGUGCUAGAAAUGGUGAGCGGGAGGAGGAAUUUAGACCCAAGAAUCGGGAGCCAGGACGAUGUUUACCUCCCUGAGUGGAUCUACGAGAAAGUGAUCAAUGGGGAGGAGUUGGCGCUUACUUUGGAAACGACUCAAGAAGAGAAAGACAAGGUGAGGCAGCUGGCUAUGGCGGCACUGUGGUGCAUCCAGUGGAACCCGAGAAACCGGCCGUCGAUGACAAAGGUCGUGAACAUGUUAACGGGGAGGCUGCAGAGUUUGCAGAUGCCCCCGAAGCCUUUUGUCUCAUAUGAAAAUGAACCUAUGCCAUAAAUCAAAACAGGGACUACCAUACUCUGUCAACAUUCAGGGACUACCAUGCUCUGUCAACACUGUAUUUCUAUACUUUCAGUCCAUAUAAUAGGUCUGGAGAUGUAUGAAUAAUCACUGGUCACUACCAUUGUAAUAGUACUCUACUAGUUGUUUGCAAGACAUGCAGAUUCACAAUUGGACUUGUAUUUUAACAGCUACGCCCAUAUUUAUCUUCAAAAGUAGCAAAUACUCUGUUGAUUACCUUAUUCUGCCUCCACUCCCAUAUUUCUCUGCAUAUGACAGUUAGUAGAUCUCCUCUUAUGAUGUCCUUUGGAGCACAAAGUGAAUGUGAUCCACAUUCACUCGUUUCACUUAUCUCAUCUGCAAUUCGAUAAAAUGACAUCAAACAUCCACAUCAAUUGGAGCUUCACUUAUUUGCAAGAUAGGCAGAUUACCUUAUUCGAUCUCCACUCGCAUACUUCUCUGCAUUGCAGUCCGUCCACAUCUGACAAUUAGUGGAUCUCCUCUUUGCACUUUAACAUAGAUUAAAAUCGCGGGAGAAACGAUUUCACAGCGGCCUCUCCCAGCAGCUAUAGCGGCCGCCAUAGCGGGCAAUCGGAGCAAAUAGCGGAAAUUUUUCUGGUGGAAGAGAUGAUUUCUAAAGGGUUUGCUCAUUGUUGAGCCAUUUAGAGGGAUUUGUGGGGGAUUUUGCGGCAGCAGCCAUAGCGUAGCGGCGAGGCUCCCGGCUAGCUAUAGCGCAGUUAUAGCGGCUAUUUCGUGGGCUAUUUGAAUCUAUGACUUUAAGUGAUAUCUGACGGAGCUUUUCCUGUCCAGCACAAGGUGAAUGUGAUCCAGGUUCACUUACUUCACUUGUGUCGUCUGCAACUCGAUAAAAUGGCAUCGAUGCAUCAAACAUCCACAUCAAUUCGAGCUUCACUUAUUUCAUCAUCAGUAUAAUAACAAACUAAUAAGGAGUAGGUCCGAAACUGUGGGAGGGAUCGAAAAUCUGAGGAGUGAUGUACCUCUUGUUCUUGAAAUGUGUGUGUGAGAGAGAGGAAUCGAAUCGCGGCUGCUGCUCCUUGCUGCGGUUGCGGACUGCUGCUACCUGACCGCUGAUUCAGUCACCGAUGUGGAGGGCGACGGCCGGGGGUCACCUCCCUGCCGGCUGCUCUUGCUGGGCUGGGGAAACCGGCACAUGCUUGCUAACGUUGGAAGCGGACGGGCGGCGGAAGUCGUGGGCGAAGAACCGUGGAGGCGGCUGGGACGGAUGAGAAUGGUGGAUAUAGGAUCCCCGGCCAGAAAGGCAGUUUGUGACAAAGCAGUGGAUAACAACAAUAGUAGCUUCAGUCUCAGGACCAUAUAUCAGCACUGCUGUUGUUCGAGAACAUCAGCAGUGUCCCAUCUACUAUGUAACUGACAAUGCUUUCAACUGUCAGCAUUACUGAAAUUUCCAAGCGGAACCCCUCGUUGCACUGCGCACAGGUGGCAUUUACAUGACGGGGUUGCACCAAGCCUAUGCAGCCACCCUGCAUAAGAUCGAAGACUACAUGCAAGAAGAUCAGCCUUGGCUCUGGUUCUUGAAGGCAAAUUAUGUAGUUCCAUGACCACCAUGAUUUCUUAGCUGCAAAGAAGAAGAAAAACUAUAUGUAUCUUCGGGGUACUUGGUGGUGCGCAGUUCUGAAGGGGAGAAUAUUUGUUUAGUUUCUGCUGAGAUGAGAGGCUCUGCAACAAUGCAAAUAUUUGUUUAGUUUCUGCUGCCUAGCUAGUUUCUGUGGCAUACUGAACUUUGUUCAUGAGAGCAUGCAUGGCCAUAUGAUGCUGGAAACUCGACCUGGAUUGAUGUUGUUGUAAGCCAAAACUGUAGCAAAUCCACUGCAACUUACAGAUUGGCGAUCUGCUGCCGAUUUGCUGGCUUCCAGGAGCUGAAUUCUGCCGCCACCGAGACCUUGAUGUCCUCCUAGAGUCCCUUGAGUAGCUACUUGAGACCAGCUUUGGUGAGGCUCCAUCGCAUCCCAUUGUAGUCAAUCUGCUCACAGCUCACUGUGGCCGUGUCUCGAUGGUAGAUGUCGCCAUAGCGGUGUUGGUGGUGGGGGGAAUUUCUGGCUCUGAAUACCAAGUGUUAGCACGGCAAUAGUUCACUGGGUGGAAUUCAGAGAACUAGAGUAUUCGUUUCUGAAUCACUCGAUUACAAGCACACUGGUGCUGAAUUGGAGAACAAGAAAUAGAAGGAAAGGUUGAGAGCCAGGUAGUUGGUAGCUGCCGUUGUUGCCAUGCUGUGAUCGAACUUCGAUGCCUGCAGCUGAUGUGACGGAUUCUUCACUGAUCCAUCUUUCAAACUUUUCAGUCUGUGUAUUGCCGUUAUCACUUGUAAUCUGUAUAAGAUGUAACCAUUGCUCUGCAAUAUUCUGUCGGCAUGAAUGCAUGAUGGAACUUUGUUCAUGAGAGCAUGGCCAUAUGCUGCUUGAAACCCGAUCUGGAAUUAUGUUGCUGUAAACUAAAACUGUGUUCAUAUUAUUUUUUUGGUCUUAUUUGUCGCACUGGAAUCGGAAUGUAAGUUAGCUUUCAGUGAUUUUGAUGGAAUGUCCUCUGUUUUUCUAAGAAAAGAAACAAAGUUGUCCAAACAAAGAUUUGUUUUUCCAGAAAGGAAUAUUUUCUCUCUCUCUCUCUCACCUUUCCCAUCACAGGGGAAAUCCUGCCUCAAGUGGUUCGAACAUCUUUUUUUUUGUCUUGUCGGUCGGAACUUGCAUCUAUAAUAGUAAUAAGUAAAUAAGCAAUUGUGUAAUUUAAAAUUUAACUGAAAUUACUCGAUUUGUGUUCCUCUAUGACAAGUGCAGAUCCAUGAAGGCAGUAUGUGACAGGGGCUGCCAUAUACUCCCUCCGUCCAGAAAUAUUUAUCGGAGAAAUGAAUGUAUCUAGAUGUAUUUUAAUUCUAGAUACAUCCAUUUUUAUCCAUUUAUGCGACAAGUAAUUCCGGACGGAGGGAGUAGUACAAAGCAAAGUAGUGGACAACAACAAUGGCAACUUCAGGACCACAUCAGCAUUUCUGGAAUUGGAACAGAAGACUCUUCCGCCCCGUCUACUGGGUAACUGAUAGUGUCCACACAUUCUUCAGACUUGGCCAACAUCAGUGUUACUGGAAUUUCCACGCGGCGCUCCUCAUCACACGCGCACAAGUGGCAUUCGGCAGGACUGGGUUGCACCAAGUCUAUGCAGCCACUACAGCACGGCAGGGGGUUCCAUUAAAUUAGAUUUGGAAUUUUCUUUUUCCUGCCUACGAUCGAAGGCGACAUGUAAGGAAGAUCAGCUGUGGCCGGUGGCUCUGGUUAUCAAAUGCAAUUAUGUAGUUCAAUGACCGCGGUGAUUUCUUAGCAGCAAAGAGGAAAAAAGAACUAUUUAUCUAUGUCUUCGCGCCUUGCGGGUGCACAAUCCUGAAGGGGAGAAUGUGAGGGACUCUGCAACGAUGCCAAUUAUGCAACUGGAAACAUAACCUGGAAUGAUGUUGCUGUACACUAAAACUGCACUUCAGUAAAUUCGUGAUGAAACUGGAGACCAAUGGUUUUAUGGAUGUAUCAUAUGCAAAAUACAAAAUGUAUGCAAGCUAGCUUCUCAGUGACAAUCUUCCAUCCAUAAACUGCAUGUUACUGCCUGCAGAAUGAAAUACAAAUUUUCUCUGAAAAUGUUUCUCAAUAAGAAAAAGGCGGUCUUUUGUCACCUCUCACAAAGUUAUUUGUAUCAAGAACUGGUAUCAAGAAUUUGUUGUUCAAGCAAUAUUUUCCAUCAGAAUUUAUCGAGAGUAAUGAACAAACAAAUAUAUGGAUGUAAGAUGUCAACCUUAUUUGAUGAAGUUGCUCUGCACAGCAAGCAAGGCAGUUUGUACAAAGCAUUUAUACUGGGUUGGUACUGUUACAACCAUAACUUUUACAAAUAAGCGCAUCACUCCAUGAUACAUACAUAUACACGCACAUAUUGUAUAUAUACCUCACACGUCGUCUUCCUCUGACACCACACUCAAUUCCUCCUCCGAGACCGCCGACAGCUCGGAAGUGAACUGAUAAGAGUCCUCCACAUGGAUGUGCCCUUCGUCGCAGAAAAACGGCCUCGAAGGCAUCUGCAGGCCAUCAGCCCCAGCCUCCAGGAUCUCAAUGACCUCGCUCAUCGUCGGCCGAUCACGAGAUCUCAUUUGAAUACACCACAAUCCGACAACACAUAGCUUCUUCUCCAGCUCAUGCAUGUCAUUAGCAACAGCAGAUAUCUCGCCUGCUUCUUCCCGAGUCAGCCGGUCGUACACCCAGGACGGGUAGUACGCCUGGCUGGAGGAACCCAUGUUUGGAUCAGCGUUCCUUCUCCCGCCGGCCAUCUCCAGCAGCAACAUCCCGAAGCUGUACACGUCGGACUUGCUGGAUAUAACACCGAAGCCCCGGGAUAUCAUCUCGGGGGCUAUGUAGCCGACGGUUCCCCGCAUGGCGCUCAAAGGCACGAAAGUGUCACCCCUCGGGUACAGUUUGGCGAGUCCGAAAUCGGCGACCUUCGGGAUGAAAUUGCUGUCGAGAAGGAUGUUGUGCGGCUUGAUGUCAAAGUGUAGAAUCUGCAUGUCACACCCUUGAUGUAAGUAGUUGAUCCCCCUGGCAAUGCCCAAAGCGAUCUCAUUGAACUUGUCCCAUGAGAAGCUCUUCUCGGUAGAGAAGAUGUACUUGUCCAGAGAACCAUUGGGCAUGUACUCGUAGACUAAGGCCCUUCGCAUUUCCUCCGAGCAGAACCCCACCAAACGCACAACGUUGACAUGGUGGAUCCUGCCGAUGGUGGAGACCUCGCUGAUGAAAUCUUCUCCAUUGCAGUUUGAGUUGCCCUCUAGCAUCUUCACGGCGACAUGGACACCGCCUGGAAGAAGCACACCCUUGUACACAGAGCCGUAGCCCCCUUGGCCCAAUUUAUCUCUGAAAUGGCUUGUGACUGCAACUAUAUCUGUGUAGGAGUACCUCGCCGGGCCAAUCAUUUGUUGAAUCCUGAGGAACUUCUCAACUGCAUCAAUUAUGAUCCUUGUUUUCAUGUACUUGUAGGCUAGGAAUAUCCAUACAGCCAGGGGUGCCAACAAGAACCUGCACAGUACUGCACAACAAGUCGACAGAUAUGGACAUAAGUUAAAAGAAUGUAAAUUCUUUUUCGAGCGUCAAAUGUGUAUACAAUUCUCACGUACCAAAAAAGAACUGGAGGAUAGCAAUAGCAGAUACUAAGGUUGCAGCAAUCAAAAACAACUUUGUUGUGUAGUAGUAAUCAUCGUUAGAGCUCCCAGUCAUGCAUUCUAAGAAGUGCACCUCACUCCAGAAAAUAGCAUGAGUCCAAUUAACAAUGCUUGUGCCAGAUAUUUGCUCCUUGAAGUAGCUGCAAAUGAUACAAUUGAAAAUAAAUUAUAAUGCAGGCUGCCACCGUCAGGUUGGCUUAACAGCCCCAAGUCAAUUCUUCAAGAGAAUAGGGAGGUGAGAAACUAAACUCGGGAGGAAAUGGAACAACAGGGUGAUCACCUGAUUGAACUGUUGAGGCAUAAAUUGAUGUUCUUUCUUAACAUCACAAAAGUAGAAGGCCUCCUGUAAAUGUUGUCCACAGGAAAUCGGACAGUAAACCCCUUACUUAUGAAUUGUGUGAUAUCUGCAUAACUUGCAUUCUGCAGCUGUCGCCAAUCAGGAGAAUACUUGUUACCAAAUGGAAUCUCUGCCAGGUAUCCACAAUAAGGUUCAAGAUCUUCAACCGCACAGUACGUGUAAUUAGACACCCAGACAUAAACAUGUGAAUUUUUGGCACUCAGGCAAGCAACAGGCUUGUAUGCACUUUUAUUCAUUACUGCUCUUGAACAAUUAGCAAAACAUGCUCUGUCAUAACUCCGAGUGGCCAAAUACCGAAAGCCAGGUGGUGAAACUGAAUCAAUUCCGCCCAAGUAUCUACCAACGUAUCCACCAAAGUAUCCACCAAAGUAAGGAAGGUGAUUCCACAGUGGAAGAGGGCAGCUGCUACUAGUAUCAAAGUUGGUGUCCAUGACCGAGAAGUAGAAACCGGUGUAGUUGAUGGCAGUCACAUAGUAUGUUCCAGUGUUGAUGUGAAUCGUAGCCUUGCCACUGGUGCAACCCAGCUCGUAUGCUUCAACACCACAAUCAAGAGGAUCACCUCGCUGACGGAAAGGAGGCAAUAUGUCUCGGAGAUGUCCACAGGAGAAAGGUGAGCACCCAUAAUCUCCUCCCUGGACAUGAUCUGCUGCAAAAACUACAACGAGGGAGAAGACAGUUAAGGAUUGUAGGGUAAUAGAAUGAUGAGAUGCACCAGGGUUCCCCAUGAAAGCUUCACAUAUGCACUAUGGACUUCAUAUCCUAGUUACUUAUGUUAUAGAGUACUAAGGGGGGCAAGGAAUCGACAUCAACUAGUUGAUCAUAUCCAGCUGUAUAUACCAAUUAAUAGUGUGGUUGGGAUACUGAUUAUGACUUCAUUGGUAUAUACAUGAAGUUCAGAACAAGAGGAAGAUAUUUCUCUCCCAUUGUGUAGCUAGGAACAAAAGACGACUCGGGCUUGGAGUCUUCUGUCCCGUGGUCGUUUUCUCCAGAGAUGACAUACAAGAACUUUCAGGCAAUGCAAAAUACCAAUUGACACAUAUUUAUUGCUCAUGGCCGUUUUAUCCAGAGAUUACAG